rnacentral:lncRNA from 1 species
UUUUCAUGCACAUCUUCCUCGCAUUAAGAAUGUAAUCUUCCUGCAGGCACAGAUGGAACAAUCGCUUGUAUGGCUUCUUACUAUGUAUGCAGCUCCAUAUUCAACUCCAUAAUGGCACUUGCUGGUGAUACUAAUGUAAGCAUAAUAUCUGUAACAAAAAUCUCAAACAUUAUUCACAAAAUCCUACUAUGAUGAAGUCUUUAUCUUAUGGCAACUGUUGUUUUUAGCUUUAAAUAGCACAGUGAGGCAAAAUCAUUAUUACCGAAAGAUUAGCCAAAGCACAGAAGAGUUGAUAAUUUCGUUUGAUUCAUCUGCAGUACUAUGACAUCCGGAAAAAGUGUGAGGGGAGGCUGUGUUACGAUUUUUCAAAUGCAGAA